ensembl:lncRNA
CACACGCGCUGCUUUUGCUAUGCUUGAAACCCAUUUGUGGCUUUUAAUCUUUUGAAAUCGCUGUGGGAUUUCAAUAUAUAUAAAGCUCAAUGGAUUCCGGUGCUAUGUUGCGUUGCCUCUAUUGGAUUACUCUAUUGAUCGCCACGCUUAUUCGUGGAAUAAACGCGGAUAAAAGCCCACCCAUAGUGCCUUCGAAUUCCUGGAGGGUGGCAGCAAUUACCAGUUUAUCUGUCCUGGCAGCCGUAAUUGUUAGCGGAGCCUUGCUCAUAGGCGUUCUAGUACAUCAAUGCAGGUCCAAGAGGACCUUACGUGGUGAGAUGUUAACAUUACAGCAUCUUUUUAACAACAAACACUCUCUUUCAGAGCAGGACUCAAAACUAACUCAACUUUUUCUGUUCACAACUCAGAACCGAUUGAAGAGACAACAGGACCCCUUUAUCCAGUAUAGGUUCUUCAUAAGGUAGGGGUUGAAAAAUGCAACACUUCUUAGGAUGUUUUGAAAUGCAUUAAGGAAAUUAGUUUUGUUCAUAUGCAAUCUUUUAAAUGUUUGCAGCUCAUGGAACUCAAGCUGACAGCAUAUGAAAAUGGACUGUUACUCCAGUGAAUUAAUGCUCCAGUCGGUUAAACACAGGCUGGUACCUCAACCACAGAGUGUUCUAUGAGUAGCAUCUGAUUUGUCUAAUUUAUUACAUUAGUAGGCUAUGUCAUGCAUAGCAAAUGGUUAUGCAAAAAAGCUGCACUGAGACCUUCCUUGUCACUCACUGUGCAGAACAGGUUUGCAAGCCUUAGGUGCUACGUGACAUCCUAUAGACAUCAAGAACGCAUAUUUUAUAUUCCUUUUUGUGGAACCCCUAAAAUGCUUUAGCGACAGUUUUUGCCAAGAUUUGUGGCCAUUCAUGCUGUAGAUGCAUUUCCACCUGAAUAUUCCUUGUUAGAUUUGCAAACACGAUAAGCACAAAUAACCGAAACUAGUUUAACAUAGCAGACUUAGAGAUGCUACUUUUUACACAAAUAUGCCUUAUAAACAGACUUAGCAUGGCACAUAGCCAUUUGAAUGUAUUUGUAAUCUUUGUACAACAAUAUUCUGACACUGACUGGCUCAGCAGCCCGUCUAUGGCAUUGAUGAACAUUCUGGAGAUGUGGAGGCACUGAAGACCAGCGAAGACAAAGCAUCCGAUGACCUGAAAGUGAAGAGUUGCCAGCUGACAUUAACAGAUUCUUUAAAAGAGCUGCAGGUGUCAGAUUCAAUCUUAGUUUUCCUACCUUUAUGCGCAUAAGAGAUUAGAUAGUUUAGUGUGAUAUUUACAUACAUCUAUCGUGAUGCAUUUAAUCUCUCGUGUUUUGAAGAUGUGUGUAGCCAGCUAUGGGCAUUAGGAAAUGUAUAUAUUUAUAUGCAGCAGAUGCUGAGGAGUAAUGAAAUUAACUUGUUUGAAAGACUUCAAGCAUGUUUAGAAAGAGUAAAGGGUUAAUCUCACAAAACCUGUGAAGGAAAGGUCUGUCACAUUUCAACCCAGAAAUUAUACUUUGCUUAAAGAAAUUGUCUUUUUUUUUGGCAGUUACAUUGUUUUCAAGAAAACUAAGCACAUUUUAUAUGCCAAUUCCCAAGAAUACUUUAUGUACCUCAAUGCAAAUCACUGCCAUGUUUGUCAGAAAUCUAGAAUCAAGAAGCUAGUCCAGAAUCUUGAUAAACAUAAACCUGUGAAGCAUGCACAGCACUGUCAGUCUUGAGUAAAGUUGGUUGUGUAUAUGUGCCUUUACUCAUUCACAAUUACUCCAGACUGCAGAGGAAACUAUGCAUUUUAAUGCAAUAAAGAGACAACUAAUGUACUGUAUUUGUCUGUUGACGUUUUCUUUUCCUAAAUGUUUUCUUAAACG